rnacentral:lncRNA from 1 species
CAGGCGGACACCAAUAGACUCCACAGCAGCUCCAGGAGCCCAGACACCGGCGGCCAGAAGCAAGGCUAGGAGCUGCUGCAGCCAUGUCGGCCCUCAGCCUCCUCAUUCUGGGCCUGCUCACGGCAGUGCCACCUGCCAGCUGUCAGCAAGGCCUGGGGAACCUUCAGCCCUGGAUGCAGGGCCUUAUCGCGGUGGCCGUGUUCCUGGUCCUCGUUGCAAUCGCCUUUGCAGUCAACCACUUCUGGUGCCAGGAGGAGGAGCCUGCACACAUGAUCCUGACCGUCGGAAACAAGGCAGAUGGAGUCCUGGUGGGAACAGAUGGAAGGUACUCUUCGAUGGCGGCCAGUCCAGUGAGCAUGAGAAUGCCUAUGAGAAUGUGCCCGAGGAGGAAGGCAAGGUCCGCAGCACCCCGAUGUAACCUUCUCUGUGGCUCCAACCCCAAGACUCCCAGGCACAUGGGAUGGAUGUCCAGUGCUACCACCCAAGCCCCCUCCUUCUUUGUGUGGAAUCUGCAAUAGUGGGCUGACUCCCUCCAGCCCCAUGCCGGCCCUACCCGCCCUUGAAGUAUAGCCAGCCAAGGUUGGAGCUCAGACCGUGUCUAGGUUGGGGCUCGGCUGUGGCCCUGGGGUCUCCUGCUCAGCUCAGAAGAGCCUUCUGGAGAGGACAGUCAGCUGAGCACCUCCCAUCCUGCUCACACGUCCUUCCCCAUAACUAUGGAAAUGGCCCUAAUUUCUGUGAAAUAAAGACUUUUUGUAUUUCUGGGGCUGAGGCUCAGCAACAGCCCCUCAGGCUUCCAG